ACUGAACGCUGGCGGCAUGCCUUACACAUGCAAGUCGAACGGUAACAGGUCUUCGGACGCUGACGAGUGGCGAACGGGUGAGUAAUACAUCGGAACGUGCCCAGUCGUGGGGGAUAACUACUCGAAAGAGUAGCUAAUACCGCAUACGAUCUGAGGAUGAAAGCGGGGGACCUUCGGGCCUCGCGCGAUUGGAGCGGCCGAGGGCAGAUUAGGUAGUUGGUGGGAUAAAAGCUUACCAAGCCGACGAUCUGUAGCUGGUCUGAGAGGACGACCAGCCACACUGGGACUGAGACACGGCCCAGACUCCUACGGGAGGCAGCAGUGGGGAAUUUUGGACAAUGGGCGGAAGCCUGAUCCAGCAAUGCCGCGUGCAGGAUGAAGGCCUUCGGGUUGUAAACUGCUUUUGUACGGAACGAAAAAGCUCCUUCUAAUACAGGGGGCCCAUGACGGUACCGUAAGAAUAAGCACCGGCUAACUACGUGCCAGCAGCCGCCGUAA
rnacentral:rRNA from 1 species